rnacentral:ncRNA from 1 species
CAUGUUGGAACGAUGUAGCAGAAGUUGUCAGAAAAGUUACCACGGGGAUAACUGGCUUGUGGCGGCCAAGUGUUCAUAGCAAUGUCGCUUUUUGAUCCUUCGAUGUCGGCUCUUCCUAUCAGUGUGAAGCAGAAUUCACCAAGCGUUGGAUUGUUCACCCACUAACAGGAACGUGAGCUGGGUUUAGACUGUUGUGAGACAGGAC